UGUUUGAUUGAGUCUCACAGUGACUGGAGAUAUGAAUGGUAUAAAGACACAGACAGAGUAAUGUUACAGACGUCUGAUCGUUACACUGUAAACAGAGACACUCUCACUAUCAGAGGAGUAAUUACAUCUGAUCAGGGUCAGUACUGGUGUAGAGGACAGAGAGAUGAGAGACCAAACUCAUCACAGGACAGUAACCGAAUACAUCUGUCUCUUAAUGGUUCAGGUCAGAUUUCUGUCUUCAGCAUCCUCAGUUUUCUUCUGGCAGCUUGUCCGUAUCUGCUUUCGACAGUUGUGCUGCUGUUCAAAUGUUACAGAGUGAGAGUUUCAUCUACUGAAGACCAAAGCCAGUAUGCUGUAACAGAGGAACAAACUUCAACCUGAUUUCAUCCAUUCUUCAAACCGAGUGCAGAGUCUCAGGAUGCUGGAGUUUCAGACUGAAGGAAACUCACAAGACUAACAGACACACAUUCACACUCUCACACAUGCAGACUAUUAGCGUUUCUAAUUCUCCUGGGGCCUCAUGUAUACAACUUUACAAAGAGUUCAUCCUAAUUGUAAUCAUUUAUCAUAAGAUUUCAUAUGAUAAAUAAUUGUUAUAUUAUAUUAUAAUAUAAUUGUUUUAUUUUUAUAUUAUAUUUAAUAUUUUUUAUAUUAUGUUAUCAUAUGAUUUCAUUCUAGAUAUCAUCCUAAAUGAGGGAACAAACAAAACUGUUAAUAAAAUCAAUCCAUUUUCCUGCAGUUGAUCAGUUCUUCUACAGACCCACGGAUGAGAAAUGUUCAAACUAAUGGCAUUUCAGCCCAGAGAUGUUUUAUUCAGAUUUAACCUGAUUGUCAAUAAAAGCUGAGACAGAGACAUCAAUUAUAUCUGAUAUACGAACAUUUUACUGAAUGUGAGGAACAUAUUCAUUAUGACACUUUAAGUGAACA